UACGAAGGGGGCUAGCGUUGGCUCGGAAUCACUGGGCGUAAAGCGCACGUAGGCGGAUUGCUAAGUCAGGGGUGAAAUCCUGGAGCUCAACUCCAGAACUGCCUUUGAUACUGGCGACCUUGAGUCCGGGAGAGGUGAGUGGAACUGCGAGUGUAGAGGUGAAAUUCGUAGAUAUUCGCCAAGAACACCAGUGGCGAAGGCGGCUCACGUGGCCCGGUA
rnacentral:rRNA from 1 species